UAGUAUCACUAUUGAAAUUAGUAAAACGUGUUGUUGUUGAGAUUAAAGCCUAUAACUUGAUUUUCCUUUCAGAGUGAAUUAGGCAAGUCGUGGGGCAAGUUCCAGCUGCUAGUAAUAAAACCAACGAAGAUAGAGAGCAUGAUUUUCUCUAACAUAAAUUUUAAAAUGCUUCCUGAUUCUGUAACUUCUUCUGAACCUGCCUUGUCUUUCGAUGAAUUUGACCAGCUUUUCCCAUAGCCUCCCUUUGCUUCAGGUUCAUCCUGAUGAGACUCAGUUUAUUCCUGCAGUCUUCCUCUGGCAUGCAAGUAGUUUCCAUUGCUUGAUUAUUAGCCUUCAUCAAGCAGUGAAUUUAACCCACUGAUGCUGAAUUUUUUGUAGGUGUUCCUGGCAGUUACCAGUGUUCUAUGGAUGCUAAUUUGAUGGAUCAUCAGCCCUAUUUAUCUUUCCAAAAAUUAUUUUAACUUAUUUUUCAGGCUCCAGUGCUGAAAGAAAUAUAUUGUGUAUGCCAUCUUUCAACAGGUUAACUUCAUGGGCUCCCAGGUAGGCCAAACUUUUGGGGAAACAAUCCAACAAAUCAUGCCAAAGAUAGGCACCUACAGGUUGUGGUCCACUUACAAUCUGAAGGGCAACAGGCAUAAGGAAAACAAAAGGAGGCAUUCAUGAAUCUUUUACUCUUCAAAUGCAUUAAAAAAGCUUGCCUUGAGACCCACCAAAAGCUAAAGGAAAACACUAUUGAAGACAAGGUGACAUAAUUUCUGAAACUUGCUCCCAAUAAGCCAUGAGGAAUGAGACACAAGAAAUCUACUUCAGCAAAUGGUGGCCAGACAUUAGAAAAUGAUUAAAUGGAAAAAGAAGAGCUGACUGAUAACUAGAAAAACCUCUAAGUGGAAAAGUGUCAUCAAUAAUAAUUGCAAUCAAAUUGUAUAAAAGUUUUUAUCAGAGAAUAAAUGUUGAAUAAAUU
rnacentral:lncRNA from 1 species